UCAACAAGCUACCGAAAUCGAUAAACUCUUCCUCCCAUACUUUACCCUUGAGUUUCGUGGAAACCCACGAGUCAAUAGCCAAACCGGCCGAGUAAAACAAUUGAGUAGAUUCAAAAAAACUCGCAGUAUUAGGAUAAAUAAUAUUAGGCAAUAACUGUAGCUCACCCGGCAAGGCAUGCAGUCAUGGCAGUUUCUUCUGGAGAUGCCACUUGACUGGGAACUGGAAAAAUCGUAGCCAUUUUGCUGGUCACUUCAGCAGCCACAGUGUUCACCAGACUCUGAAAGAUCUCGUGCGACAGAAUAUUACCUGAGGACGGGGCUGUAGGAUUUGCUGUUGCUGGUGUGGCAAAUGGCGAUAGUUCAACUACUGGGACAGUAUUCUGUGUCGCUCUGGUGCCGCCAAAACUAUGAUGCCAAGACCGACGACCCCUUGUAGUUGUUGCAGCUUGUUUCCGUUGUUGCUUACGUGGUGGCAUAC